GUGACUAUGUCAGUGUGUCUUGGUCGGGAGAGGUGCCUUCAAUAACAGAGGAAGCGAAGGAGCUGGUAGAAAGCUUCUAUCUGAUGAAGACUCCUUGGGAAAUCUGGGCAGAGAGGUUGAGUUACUUGUUUGAAGUUACACAGCUGGCAGUUCCUGUUAGUUGAGAUGCUUUUAGUGGAUGUGACAUGGAG